rnacentral:rRNA from 1 species
GACGAACGCUGGCGGCGUGCUUAACACAUGCAAGUCGAACGGAAAGGCCCAGCUUGCUGGGUGCUCGAGUGGCGAACGGGUGAGUAACACGUGGGUGAUCUGCCCCUAACUUCGGGAUAAGCUUGGGAAACUGGGUCUAAUACCGGAUAGGACAAUCGUUUAGUGUCGGUUGUGGAAAGUUUUUUCGGUUAGGGAUGAGCCCGCGGCCUAUCAGCUUGUUGGUGGGGUAAUGGCCUACCAAGGCGUCGACGGGUAGCCGGCCUGAGAGGGUGGACGGCCACAUUGGGACUGAGAUACGGCCCAGACUCCUACGGGAGGCAGCAGUGGGGAAUAUUGCACAAUGGGCGCAAGCCUGAUGCAGCGACGCCGCGUGGGGGAUGACGGCCUUCGGGUUGUAAACCUCUUUCGACAGGGACGAAGCUUUGGUGACGGUACCUGUAUAAGAAGCACUGGCUAACUACGUG